rnacentral:misc_RNA from 1 species
GAUGAAGAACGUAGCGAAAUGCGAUAAGUAAUGCGAAUUGCAGAAUUCAGUGAAUCAUCGAAUCUUUGAACGCACAUUGCGCCCGCCAGUAUUCUGGCGGGCAUGCCUGUCCGAGCGUCAUUUCAACCAUCAAGCCCCCGGGCUUGUGUUGGGGACCUGCGGCUGCCCGCAGGCCCUGAAAACCAGUGGCGGGCUCGCUGUCACACCGAGCGUAGUAGCAAUCACCUCGCUCAGGGCGUGCUGCGGGUUCCGGCCGUUAAACAGCCUUACAAAACCCAAGGUUGACCUCGGAUCAGGUAGGAAGACCCGCUGAACUUAAGCAUAUCAAUAAGCGGAGGA